rnacentral:rRNA from 1 species
GACGAACGCUGGCGGCGUGCCUAAUACAUGCAAGUCGAACGCAGUGGGGACGGGUGAGUAACACGUGGGUAACCUCCCAUCAGAGGGGAGAACACUUGGAAACAGGUGCUAAACCGAUACUGAUGGAUGGACCCGCGGGGCAUUAGCUAGUUGGUGAGGUAACGGCUCAACAAGGCCCAGAGUCAUAGCCGACCUGAGGGGGUGAUCGGCCAAACCGGAACUGAGACACGGCCCAGACUCCUACGUGCGGCAGCAGUAGGGAAUGUUCCGCAAGGGACGAAAGUCUGACCGUGCAACGCCGCGUGAGUGAAGAAGGUUUUGGGAUCGUAAAGCUCUGUUGUUAGAGAAGCGGUAUCUAACCAGAAAGCCACGGCUAACUACGUGCCAGCAGCCGCGGUAAUUC